UAGCAAUAAGGGCGGAAUAGGUAGCCGCCACCACGUUUUUACGGUAGGAGAUGAAGAUUACCACCUUCUAUUGCUU
rnacentral:tRNA from 12 species